rnacentral:rRNA from 1 species
GACGAACGCUGGCGGCGUGCUUAACACAUGCAGGUCGAACGAAGAGCGAUGGAAGCUUGCUUCUAUCAAUCUUAGUGGCGAACGGGUGAGUAACGCGUAAUCAACCUGCCCUUCAGAGGGGGACAACAGUUGGAAACGACUGCUAAUACCGCAUACGAUCUGACCUCGGCAUCGAGGAUGGAUGAAAGGUGGCCUCUAUUUAUAAGCUAUCACUGAAGGAGGGGAUUGCGUCUGAUUAGCUAGUUGGAGGGGUAACGGCCCACCAAGGCGAUGAUCAGUAGCCGGUCUGAGAGGAUGAACGGCCACAUUGGGACUGAGACACGGCCCAGGCUCCUACGGGAGGCAGCAGUGGGGAAUCUUCCGCGAUGGACGAGAGUCUGACGGAGCAACGCCGCGUGAGUGAUGACGGCCUUCGGGUUGUAAAGCUCUGUUAAUCGGGACGAGAGGCCUUCUUGCGAAUAGUUAGAAGG